rnacentral:lncRNA from 1 species
CCGCCUCGACGUCUGCCACUGUGGUUGGCAGGAGAUUAUCCACUAAAGACCACUCGCUGGCCCUUGGAUCGACUUCGUCUCAGAGCGUGCAUCUCGUGUUGGAAGAAGUUCUGGUGCAGCGCUUCGCCGGAUCGAACCUCGCUAGCGAGGCUCAGGCCACCUGUAUUCAGCGAGCUCUGCUUCUUGAGAUAAUGUUCCUUGCGAGCGUUCGCUUCACUUGAUCAGUGCUCGCGAAGUGUUCCUUGCUAGAAUUUGCUUCGCAGCCGCUCACUUCGCUCGCGGCCAGUCUCUGAUGUCCUCGCGACCAUCUCGCUUAGCGGCCAUCUCUUCGCGGCCGCUCGCUUGCUGGCAGUCUUUGCGGUCAUCUGCUUUCGCUCGCGACCAUCUCCUGCUUAGCGGUCACUUGCUCACAGCCACUCGCUCUCGCGGCCAGUCGCUUGCACCCAUUUGCUCGCGGCCCCUCGCUCUUCACGGUCGCCUGCUUUCGCUAGUGGGGAAUUGGCUUCGCGGCCGCUCGCGGCCAUUCGCUGAGUCGCUCGCUUAUGCGCCGUAU